AGCAGUAGCCGCGGUAAUACGAAGGGGGCUAGCGUUGUUCGGAAUUACUGGGCGUAAAGCGCACGUAGGCGGACAUUUAAGUCAGGGGUGAAAUCCCGGGGCUCAACCCCGGAACUGCCUUUGAUACUGGGUGUCUAGAGUAUGGAAGAGGUGAGUGGAAUUCCGAGUGUAGAGGUGAAAUUCGUAGAUAUUCGGAGGAACACCAGUGGCGAAGGCGGCUCACUGGUCCAUUACUGACGCUGAGGUGCGAAAGCGUGGGGAGCAAACAGGAUUAGAUACCCCUGUAGUCCCUGUCUCUUAUAC
rnacentral:rRNA from 1 species